UGUGAGGUGGUGCUAUGUAGCAGGAACCCCUCUUGCUUUGCAAAUAGUUUUUUGUUUGUUUUCCUUUUUGCCCAAUAGAGCCCUGCUCUACUGACCCUUCAAUGUGCCCGUGUGCCUAAAUAUUCCUGGUCGUGUGAAAAGAACCCAGGUAUUAGCUGAACUAAGGAGCACAAUUCUGCAACAUUUUGGCACCCAAACACGGGGCUUGAGAAAUGAAUGCAAUUGGAGAAACUGGUUGUUUUACCAGGCGUUGAUUGGAAAUGUGUGCUUCCCUUUAAGCAGUCAAGCUCAACUUGCAGAACUGAUGGGAACCCCUUGGGAAAACUGGCCUCAAAUGUUUGUCUACACAGUCCACAUACAGGGUUCUUAACCUGCGGAAACACUUUCUGAAAAUGUCAGAACUCUUGAAAACAUGGAUGAGGAAAAGCAUAAGUACUGCUUUAUGCUUUUCUUAUGAAUUUUAAAAGAUGUAAUUUAAAGAGGGGUUUUGCCAUGUUGGCCAAGCUGGUCUCAAACUCCUGACCUCAAGUGAUCCGCCCUGGCUUCCCAAGCCCAGCUGAUUCCUGUUUAAAUAAAAACUUACAAAGAUCUUCCCACAAGUACUUUAUCUUACAAUUUACUGAACAAUAGAGGCAGUGAAGAUGUUUUUCAGAAAGCAAUUGUGAUCCUGACAUUUUCUUCUUAUAAUCCUGUGCUUUCCUCAUUUUUUUAUAUUAAAAGUAAUAGUUCUUGUGAUGGCAACUAGGAUUUGUAACAACAUGUACCCUCAUUUCCUGCAUGACCUUUUUUAUGUCACUUCUUCACAUGCAAAGUAUACUCCCUCAGUGUCAUUACAUUAUUUGAUUUUUGCCCUUUCCCUCACCUUUCCAUGUGUUUAUUUGCCUAUGCCCAUCUCCUAGUCACAUUUUAUCUAGUUAACGCCAACUUGACUUUCAAUGCUGUUCAAGAUUUACCUCAAUCUCAAGUGUUUUCUCUUUAUAUUCCAUACACGCUUAGCUUGGCUGCCAAUCCUCUUGGCUGCCAAAGAAUCCCAAAUUAUCUCUUUCAAAAAUACAAGAAAUAAAGGAUGGAGGAUAGGAAGGAGGGUGGUCAGGAAAGAACAAAGAAAGGAGGGGAGAGGAAAAAAAGAGAGAAAGAAAGAGAAUUAAAGUUAAGGAGGAAGAAUUUCACACUGAAUUAAAAUUGAUAAUAUUCAGGAAUGAUUUUAUAGUAGGCAUACAUUGAUAAAUAUUAGUUAAAUUAAUGAAUUAUUCCAAAAGAUCAUGAUUUGUAAAAAUUACCCUGAAGCACUUUAGGAAUAUUACAUUGAAAUAGGUAUGCAAUUUCUAAAGAAACUGGACUGCAAAAAUAGCCAUUGUGUGUACCUGUGGACCAGAAUAUUAUAUUUUGCUUAAGUUUGAAGUGUUAAAGUGCCCAACGUGCUCUUAUUUUAACCUAGCAAAUUUUCAGCAGAACUUAAGCUCAUAUAGUAUUUGAUUUUUUCAUUUCUCACAACUGUUGGAAUUCUGUUUUAUUGAAAAUUAUACAAUAAAAUGUUAAAAAAUCUUUGUUCCUGCAGUUAUGCAAUCUUAUGCCAAAGUCAAUAAAUUAUUAAAUUAAAAUCAAACCCACUAAGCCUAACAAUUUGAGAAAAUGAUUAUUAAAACAUAUACCAUUUAGAAGGGCAAUGCCUUUUUAAUAUUAUAGUGAAGACAACCCUAUCAAUUAUUUAAUACACCAAGAAUACAAGGAUAUAAAAUCUUUUUCUCUCAUAUAUCACAUUAUCUGAUGUAUUUAGCUGUGAUGACAUUCCAGAAAACAUCACUUUUUAAAAUUUCUAAGAUUUUAUUAUGUUGCUAGCAAAUCGAUUUUUUUCAAGUACUGUAACAAAAUCCCUAAAUGGGCUUUAUGAGAACUAUUUUCAGUGUGAUAUUAAUCAUAUUUUAUUUAUCAUCCAUACAUAGAUGGUAGCUUAUCUGGUAUUCCUAGUGUUUGAAGUGAAGAGUAACACACACACACAUCCCAAUACCAAUUUAAUUGAUAAAUAUAUAAUCAUUUGUUUUCAAAUAUUUAUGUUGAUACUUGCUUGUGUACUUACUUGUAAUGUAGGUCUGUAAAAGGGACUGUUUUCUUUCUGUGAAACUGAAGCUUAAAGCAGUGCUUGUCACAAAUUCAAAAUCACCUUGCUUUGUCAACAUUUUCAGAUGUUUUUGGCUCAGUCUGAUGACAGCAUCAGUGCAGUAAAGGGAUCUUAUUGAAAUGUUUUAACUAAAGAUAAAAUGCCACCACUAGGAGAAAAAUAAAAUCAAGGAAAUAAACAGAAAAUCAAUAAAUGUGAAAUGUAUUAUAAAUUUAUAUAAUAACAAUGUUGUAUGCUAUAAACAUCUCACUUUGUAAAAUUAACAAGAAUUCAGUGAGGCAGAUCAUUUUCUAUGUGUUCAGAAGUCAAGUCUUUGAUGGCUAAUUUUUAUAUUACUUCAUUACAAUAUCUCUACUGAAGCAAAAUAAUUGCAAAUCUUUUUGAAUGAAAUCAAUUUAUCUUUAAUUUUAGAUAAUAUUUGGUAUAGUUGGCAUAGUUUUGUCACAAAGCAUAGCUAACAUCAAUGUAGCCUUACGACUUCAAAUGUCUUUAUAGAUCUUUUCUGAAAUUGCAAAAUUUUACUUUGAAAUUAUUGUUAAUAUUUACGUUGCACAACCACAAAUGUAGAAAUAAAAUUAUAAAGUCUCCA
ensembl:lncRNA PURPL p53 upregulated regulator of p53 levels